CCAAGAUGGCCGAAUAGGAACAGCUCCGGUCUACAGCUCCCAGCGUGAGCGACGCAGAAGACGGGUGAUUUCUGCAUUUCCAUCUGAGGGACUUCUGCUUGCUGCUGCCAAGUGAAAAAGCAUGUAUUUACUUCCCGUUCUGCCAUGAUUGUAAGUUUCCUGAGGCCUCCCCAGCCCUGGAGAACUGGACAGCUCAGAACUCCCAUGUUUCCUCAAAAGCUUCCCUCCUGCUGCUCACCUGAGCUGCCUGUCCCAGCACACAGCCACCAUCACCAGCAGGUUCCCCAAGAUGGCCAUCAGGAUAACCGUCGAGAGAAACGUGAGCAGCACCACCUUCUCCACUGACCCGAAACCCUCCUCAGAACUGAAAGACACACACAAGCACAAAGAAUUGAAUGAAACUCUGGGACACAAGAAGGAAAAUUCAUCUUUUCAUCAUUGACCUUCAGAAAGGUUUCUUGAGAGACUAAACAUACAAAUGGACAAUGGCCAGACCAUGUGUAACAAUAAAACUCCGAUGGACAAUCUCUGGCAGCCAGCCCAGAACGAUCAGGACUGGUUCAAUGACUGCGAGCUAGCUUCCCCCUUUUUUAACCCUCUUACCUGCUUCCAACUCAAGACUAAUAACAGAAUGCCAAAGACACUGCUCCCCAAAGCAAUUACGUGAGAUGCCUCACUGCUUGUUAGUGCACCUCCUGCUUCAGUGUGCCAACAACCUCCAAUCAGAAGAUAGCAGAAGCCUUCUUUUCCCCGCUUAUAAAGCUUUUUUACUCCCCUGCCUGUCUUUGAGACUUUGCUAAAUUCUAAGGAUGGUGGCUGAUCCUCUUGCUUUAUCAUGCUCUGAAUAAAUUGCUUGUU